rnacentral:rRNA from 1 species
GACAGAGGAUGCAAGCGUUAUCCGGAAUGAUUGGGCGUAAAGCGUCUGUAGGUGGCUUUUCAAGUCCGCCGUCAAAUCCCAGGGCUCAACCCUGGACAGGCGGUGGAAACUACCAAGCUGGAGUACGGUAGGGGCAGAGGGAAUUUCCGGUGGAGCGGUGAAAUGUGUUGAUAUCGGAAGGAACGCCGGUGGCGAAAGCGGCACACUGGAUCUCAACUGACGCUGAGGCACGAAAGCCAGGGGAGCGAACGGG